AGGCAAGCAUCAAGAACCCCAACCACACAGGUAGACAGCACUGAACACCCAUCAAGGUUAUAGAGUAUAUUAGUCCUAUAGCAAGUCCGGAAAACUGAACGUUCAAACCAUGUUCCGGAGGUUCGCUGUUCAUUUUGUUCUCGUCUUCGUCUUCCUGAUCUGUUCAGUUAUUGGCAUGGCAACAGAAAGUCGCCCUUGCUUCAAGGAACCAUUUGACUGUCAUGGAAAACCCCACAAACCCCAUGCUGCCCCCCCCCUGCCCCUAUACCCGAGUAUGUCACUGAGGCACUUAUCUCGUCUC